GACGAACGCUGGCGGCGUGCUUAACACAUGCAAGUCGAACGGAAAGGCCCUGCUUUUGUGGGGUGCUCGAGUGGCGAACGGGUGAGUAACACGUGAGUAACCUGCCCUUGACUUUGGGAUAACUUCAGGAAACUGGGGCUAAUACCGGAUAGGAGCUCCUGCUGCAUGGGGGGGGUUGGAAAGUUUCGGCGGUUGGGGAGGGACUCGCGGCUUAUCAGCUUGUUGGUGGGGUAGUGGCUUACCAAGGCUUUGACGGGUAGCCGGCCUGAGAGGGUGACCGGCCACAUUGGGACUGAGAUACGGACCAGACUCCUACGGGGGACAGCAGUGGGGAAUAUUGCACAAUGGGCGGAAGCCUGAUGCGGAAGCGCCGCGUGCGGGAUGACGGCCUUCGGGUUGUAAACCGCUUUCGCCUGUGACGAAGCGUGAGUGACGGUAAUGGGUAAAGAAGCACCGGCUAACUACGUG
rnacentral:rRNA from 1 species